rnacentral:rRNA from 1 species
GACGAACGCUGGCGGCGUGCCUAAUACAUGCAAGUCGAGCGGACUUUCAAGAAGCUUGCUUUUUGAAAGUUAGCGGCGGACGGGUGAGUAACACGUGGUCAACCUGCCUGCCCGACGGGGAUAACUCCGGGAAACCGUGUCUAAUACCGGAUAAUAUCUUCCUUCUCAUUAAGGACGGUUGAAAUGCGGCGCAAGCUGCGGCUUGCAGAUGGGCCCGCGGCGCAUUAGCUCGGUGGUGAGGUGACGGCUCACCAAGGCGACGCUGCGUAGCCGACCAGAGAGGGGGAGAGGCAAAACUGGGACGGGGACACGGCCCAGAAGCCUACGGGAGGGAGCAGGAGGGAACCGCGAGGAAUGGAAGAAAGGGGGAAGAUGCGACGACGCGCGAGCGCAGAAGGUAUUCGGACCGUGAAGGUCAGUUGUCAGGGAAGAAAGAGAACCGUUCGAACAGGGCAGGAUCUUGACGGUACCGGAACAGAAAGCCACGGCUAACUACGUG